GCUGACGGAGAACAUCAAAGCCGAGGCCGGAGCUGAGUGACUAGUCGUGAGCGAGGCAGAUUCACAUACUCGUGCACACUCACUCAAAAAUGAUAACAGAACUGCCUCUACCUCAGACAAGAGCAGGGAAACAUGUCGGAGGAGGGUGGGGGGGAGGAGAGGAUGAGGCGGAGGGGUAGAGCCCCUCCUUACUGCUGUAAAAGCAGGAGGAGAAAAAAAAAAAGAGAGAAAGAAAAAAAAGGAAGAAAGGAAAUCGCAGCCAUACGGGCUGUGCUCCCCCAGCUGAACUGGAUCUGCAUUUGAACGGUGGGAGAGCGGAGACGCUAUAUGGUCGACCGUGCUCCUCCCUCCACCCUGCCAACCUCAUCUGUCAGCCAUUAGUUAAUCAGGGCUGGUAACACAGAGCACAGAGAGCUGGCACAGCGCGUGGGACCAGAGAGGACAGCUUCACCUCUGAGAGCAAGAAGAGGGCAAGGACUCGGGGACCUCUGCUUCAACCGACCGACAGCUGGGCUGCUUCACUCAGCAGCACCCACUCAGGACCGGCAGGCGUCAACCUCGACAUGACCCCACCCACUGCAUCGCUGUGAACAGAUGGGGCUCCUAGAGGGAAAGCAUUAUCAUCUUUUAACUGCUCUCUAGACUCAGUGGUGAGGAUGUUUAUGCUCAAGUGCUGGCAAACAAAAUCUACAUUACAGCGGGUAAUAUGUUAAACUUAUCUUUGUGUUAUUCGUCUCAAAGGAGACUUCCGUUCCUAAUGUGAAAGCCAUGCUGUGAUCCAAAUAUUUAGAAUCUUCAGAUAACAUCUCAGCAUCUGGUUUUUCUGCCUCCCAAGUCUUAAUGGUUUGCAUAAAAUCUGCUCGACUUUUAACCAGCAAAUCAUCAACUGAACUAUUUUGUUUUCUCUCAAAGGCCGAAUUGAAACAUUAUCUCCCCCCCGACUCAGAUUUAAAUUAAAGCCAUGACAAGAGCCACGCAGAAUAGGGGGGUGGGGGACCUUCCAGCCACCGCUUCAAUCGCUCACACUCGACUGGCACACGGGGCAGCAUCAGGAAACAAGCCCAGUGAUGUCACGACCGACUGACCCCAGGGUGACAGGUUUGGAGGGUAUCUCGCCCGCUGCCCGCUGCCCUCAGGCCAAAGUCAAGUAUGUCAACGUCGUGCAUGUGGAUUUCAUUUGAAAGCAGCACGAUUAGUUCGCAGACGCUGGACUGCGAUCCCCCCCCUCCAUGGGAAAGCCACUCUGGGCAGGAAACGGUAUGUUUUUGUUAGCAACAAACAGGCAUAAAUUACCAAAAAUGGUGCCUCGGUUGCCGAUUCAUCACUCGCAGACAGACAGAGUCAGAGUUGCUGCUCGCACACGUCUGACAUCGACGUUGCUUUUAAAGUAAUCACCAUUAGUUAAUGAUAUUUACAUUCCUGAUGCUGAACUGUGUCUGCAAUCAUACGUUUGUGCAAUAAAUGUGAUAAUUGUUUUGUGUCGUUUCUUCUUUAUAUAUAUAUAUAUAUGACUAAUGUGUUUUGAUGACCUGUGUUUGAAAAAUUAAUAUGGCUUCGGCAAUCAUUCAUUCGUUUUUUAAGCUGUCGCUGCAAGAUUAGAUUAUUCUUGGAGAGACAAACUAAAGCAAUGAUUUGAUUACAUUUGAAAAAUUGGACUUUAUUGUUAUUGAAUGCCAACAUACUCUUGUCGAUUAAAUAUUUAUUAGGACGCAAUGCACAUUUAUGAAUAUUGAUGGUUGUAUAUCUUAAUUUAAAAGCCAUUUCCUUGUUAAUAACUCUUUAGCUUUAUUUCCAUAUAAUAUUGAAACGCCUUACAUGUAACGGUAUCUGUGGAACUACUUUCCCAAUUAAACAGUAAACAAUAAUAUGAGAUAUUUUGGGAGAAUAUAGAGCAUAUUUAAGAAUAUUUUUUGAUAUAUUGAAAAGGAUUUCAUUGAUGAGCUGCUGCUGCAAACUGAUUUGAUCGAUAUCGUUGGUGUAAUUAAAGUGUAUUUUAGCAUAGAAACAUCUUUUGGGGAUACUACCAACAGAGGAGGCCGUUACUGUACAUAAGGUAAGAUUCACUCUUAAACCAUGAGGAAUAUUUUAACAAUGUUAUGUAAUCCAAGAACCCCCCGGACCAUUUUAUCACCCUCUGGCCUUUUUUUUUUGCCAUUUCACUGAGACGAUGUUUAAUUUUUGGUUCUGAAAUGAUUAAAAUACAUUAAAAGAAAUGGUGUGAAGGCUUCCUGUAAUAUAUGAUGGAAGGCACGUGUGUAAAGGUAAUCUGAUAACCAACAUUAGUCUUUGAUUUAAGUCUAAUUAUUUGAGUUUAAUCAGGCUUCAUUGUUUCUUUAUAUACAGUUAUAUUAAAUGGAUGCUUCACUGCAGUUGGUUAAUCAGAGAUUUUACUAUCCUAAAGUGUAGUGAUAAUUAAAUACACUGCCUGAUAUUACUUCUCACACACACAUGCUUUAAAAAGCCGCUUUAAUGUGCGUUCUACUUCAAAGAAUGACCUCAGGACAAUAUCAAAUACAUAAUUCAAUCAGCACUUUUCUGUAAAUACCGGCUCUCCGGGGCUUGCUUUUUGGAUCCCCUCGACUAAACUAACCCUUGCCAGCAUGCAUUAAUACCAAUUAUUGUUGUAGUAAAAGUAAUACUCCGUCGGUGUCCUGCCAAACGCAUUACAGAGAGCUCCAUUAAUGCAAUGGUAAACAGAUGUGCCACCCAGCGCCAAAGUUUGAUUUGGACCGCGUAUGUUUUCCUCCGGGGACGUUACAAAAUAAAAUGUUGAAAACACAUAAAAGGAAAACGCCUGAAGUGUUUUUACACCACAUUAUGCAGAGGUAUGUGAAGUAUUACAGAUACUAUAGAAACACAUUCUAAGUGUGCCAACAAAGACUGAAUUAUUAUAGAAGGAUCACUGCUGAACAGAAUGAAGUCAAGUGAGGGUCAAAUACCAAAAUACCACAUAAUGACCUCCAAGUCAAGUCUUUUCUAUGAGCUGUUUAGAGCAACUCACCUGCACACUGUUUACUGCAAAAACAUGCUGUAUGUGUUGCAUGCCCACGGUUUACCAGAGCAUAUUAGUGCACGUUGAAACUACUGUAUAUGAACGAAUACCUGCCGUGUCAACUGUUCCACUGUUAAAGCAAUAAACUAUAUUUCAAGUGUCA